rnacentral:misc_RNA from 1 species
CGUCUCCAACAGUGAAUUUACAUCUCAGUAAUCAUACCAACCUCCCAAUCUCAGCAAAGCUCCUGUCCAUAAUUCGCAUCGCUUCACGGGCUCUAUCGAAACUGCCAUUACCAAUUAAAGAAGUAGCACAAACGAUGUACAACCUCAAAAAAUGCCUAAACUUUGCAAACCCAAUUGCCAAAUUGAAGAAACCCAAUGCCACCAUCGAACCCGCCUCCUCUGCAAGUGAAGCAACCUCUGUAAUGACCUUUAACGCUGGCACACCAUUGAACCCAUCUCUCCCUCUGCUCAUUCAUACCAACCCUUGCAUCACAACACCAAAGACACAUGUUGGUUUAUCGCUCACAGAUUGUCCCUUUGCAACUUACCC